ensembl:snoRNA LOC120096106 small nucleolar RNA SNORA67
GUCCAAGGUGAUUCCCUCUCCAAAGGGCUGACUGUGUGCCCUUUUCAGGGACGUAGCAACUUGGAAGAAAGCCAGGCAUGCCCAAGGUCUCUGGUGAACAGGGAAUACUUGUUUCCUUUGCCUUCCUUUGGCUGCCCACAUAU